rnacentral:rRNA from 1 species
GCAGCAGCCGCGGUAAUACGGAGGAUGCAAGCGUUAUCCGGAAUCAUUGGGCGUAAAGCGUCCGCAGGUGGCUCUUCAAGUCUGCCGUCAAAACUCAGGGCUUAACCCUGAACAGGCGGUGGAAACUGAAAAGCUAGAGUGCGGUAGGGGUAGAGGGAAUUCCCGGUGUAGCGGUGAAAUGCGUAGAGAUCGGGAAGAACACCAGUGGCGAAAGCGCUCUGCUGGACCUGCACUGACACUGAGGGACGAAAGCUAGGGGAGCGAAUGGGAUUAGAUACCCCAGUAGUCCUAGCCGUAAACGAUGGAGACUAGGUGUGGCUCGUAUCGACCCGAGCCGUGCCGUAGCUAACGCGUUAAGUCUCCCGCCUGGGGAGUACGCACGCAAGUGUGAAACUUAAAGGAAUUGACGGGGGCCCGCACAAGU